GCGUCAGUAGUGUAACGGAUAGAACACGCGCUCUCGGGAAGGGUAAGGUGCGGGUUGUAGUCCCGGCUGACGCG